rnacentral:rRNA from 1 species
UACGGAGGGUGCAAGCGUUAUCCGGAUUCACUGGGUUUAAAGGGUGCGUAGGUGGGCUAGUAAGUCCGUGGUGAAAUCUCCAAGCUUAACUUGGAAACUGCCGUGGAUACUAUUAGUCUUGAAUAUUGUGGAGGUAAGCGGAAUAUGUCAUGUAGCGGUGAAAUGCUUAGAGAUGACAUAGAACACCUAUUGCGAAGGCAGCUACUACGCAGAUAUUGACGCUCAUGCACGAAAGCGUGGGGAUCAAACAGG